rnacentral:rRNA from 1 species
AACGAACGCUGGCGGCAUGCCUAACACAUGCAAGUCGAACGAGACCUUCGGGUCUAGUGGCGCAAGGGUGCGUAACGCGUGGGAACCUGCCCUUAGGUUCGGAAUAACUCCCCGAAAGGGGUGCUAAUACAGGAUAAUGUCUUAGGACCAAAGAUUUAUCGCCUUUGGAUGGGCCCGCGUUGGAUUAGCUAGUUGGUAGGGUAAAAGCCUACCAAGGCGACGAUCCAUAGCUGGUCUGAGAGGAUGAUCAGCCACACUGGGACUGAGACACGGCCCAGACUCCUACGGGAGGCAGCAGUGGGGAAUAUUGGACAAUGGGCGAAAGCCUGAUCCAGCAAUGCCGCGUGAGUGAUGAAGGCCUUAGGGUUGUAAAGCUCUUUUACCCGGGAUGAUAAUGACAGUACCGGGAGAAUAAGCUCCGGCUAACUCCGUG